rnacentral:rRNA from 1 species
UACGGAGGAUGCAAGCGUUAUCCGGAAUGAUUGGGCGUAAAGCGUCCGCAGGUGGCACUUCAAGUCUGCUGUUAAAUACUAGGGCUUAACCCUGGAGCGGCAGUGGAAACUGAAGAGCUAGAGUUCGGUAGGGGUAGAGGGAAUUCCCAGUGUAGCGGUGAAAUGCGUAGAGAUUGGGAAGAACACCGGUGGCGAAAGCGCUUUGCUAGGCCGAAACUGACCCUCAUGGACGAAAGCUUGGGGAGCCAAUUGG